UUGUAUACUGGGCAUAGUGUUGUCAAGCCCAUAUGGAAUUUAUUCGAGUCUCGCUCUAAUUGGAUUCUUUUAGAGAACUCUUUCUCUCUCAAUCCAAAUGACCUUGGCUGGGGAUUUGCUUAAGCAAGAACAUAUAGGAUAUUCUUCUCAUGACACUAAGAGUAGAUGAUCUUUUAUCAAUACUUAAUUACCCUCAUAAGGUUGACUAUC
rnacentral:lncRNA from 1 species